rnacentral:rRNA from 1 species
CAGCAGCCGCCGCGGUAAUACGAAGGGUGCAAGCGUUAAUCGGAAUUACUGGGCGUAAAGCGUGCGUAGGCGGUGAGUUAAGCCUGCUGUGAAAUCCCCGGGCUCAACCUGGGAAUGGCAGUGGAUACUGGCUCGCUAGAGUGUGUCAGAGGAUGGUGGAAUUCCCGGUGUAGCGGUGAAAUGCGUAGAGAUCGGGAGGAACAUCAGUGGCGAAGGCGGCCAUCUGGGACAACACUGACGCUGAGGCACGAAAGCGUGGGGAGCAAACAGGAUUAGAUACCCGAGUAGUCCCUGUCUCUUAUAC